UUCCCACAGCAACGGCCAGGAGAGCAGCAACCCCUUCACGGUGCUAUGAGGCAGAUGAGGAGGCAGUAGAGGGCAGAGAUAAAGAUGUCUAGGAGGAGCUGGGAGAGAAGGAACAGUCUCCUCGGUUCAUGGAAUCAUCCUUUCCAGAACUAGCCUGAUGAAGAUUUCUGGAGAACGUAAAAAGUGACGCACUGUUUUGUAAUACUUUUGCUUUUUCUAAUAAAAGGUAUUACACAG